CAGUCGAACGGUAGCACAGAGAGCUUGCUCUCGGGUGACGAGUGGCGGACGGGUGAGUAAUGUCUGGGAAACUGCCUGAUGGAGGGGGAUAACUACUGGAAACGGUAGCUAAUACCGCAUAACGUCGCAAGACCAAAGAGGGGGACCUUCGGGCCUCUUGCCAUCAGAUGUGCCCAGAUGGGAUUAGCUAGUAGGUGGGGUAACGGCUCACCUAGGCGACGAUCCCUAGCUGGUCUGAGAGGAUGACCAGCCACACUGGAACUGAGACACGGUCCAGACUCCUACGGGAGGCAGCAGUGGGGAAUAUUGCACAAUGGGCGCAAGCCUGAUGCAGCCAUGCCGCGUGUAUGAAGAAGGCCUUCGGGUUGUAAAGUACUUUCAGCGGGGAGGAAGGUGUUGAGGUUAAUAACCUCAGCAAUUGACGUUACCCGCAGAAGAAGCACCGGCUAACUCCGUGCCAGCAGCCGCGGUAAUACGGAGGGUGCAAGCGUUAAUCGGAAUUACUGGGCGUAAAGCGCACGCAGGCGGUCUGUCAAGUCGGAUGUGAAAUCCCCGGGCUCAACCUGGGAACUGCAUUCGAAACUGGCAGGCUAGAGUCUUGUAGAGGGGGGUAGAAUUCC
rnacentral:rRNA from 1 species